rnacentral:rRNA from 1 species
UACGUAGGUGGCAAGCGUUGUCCGGAUUUACUGGGCGUAAAGAGCGCGCAGGCGGUCGUUCAAGUCGCGUGUGAAAGCCCCCGGCUCAACUGGGGAGGGUCACGCGAUACUGAUCGACUCGAAGGCAGGAGAGGGUAGUGGAAUUCCCGGUGUAGUGGUGAAAUUCGUAGAUAUCGGGAGGAACACCUGUGGCGAAGGCGGCCACCUGGACGACAACUGACGCUGAGACGCGAAAGCGUGGGUAGCAAACAGG